AGGGGAGUGAAAUAGAACAUGAAACCGUGAGCCUACAAGCAAUGGGAGCCCUACUAAUAGGGUGACCGUGUGCCUGUUGAAGAAUGAGCCGGCGACUUAUAGGCACUGGCGGGUUAAACCGGAAAUGGUGGAGCCAUAGCGAAAGCGAGUCUGAAUAGGGCGUUUGUCAGUGUUUAUAGACCCGAACCCGGGUGAUCUAACCAUGGCCAGGAUGAAGCUUGGGUGAUACCAAGUGGAGGUCCGAACCGACUGACGUUGAAAAGUCAGCGGAUGAGCUGUGGUUAGGGGUGAAAUGCCAAUCGAACCCGGAGCUAGCUGGUUCUCCCCGAAAUACGUUGAGGCGUAGCGUCUCGUGCUCCAGCAGGGGGGUAAAGCCACCAUUUCGGUGCGGGCUGCGAGAGCGGUACCAAAUCGAGAUGAACUCUGAAUACCCUGUGUGUAGCGAGGCAGUCAGACUGUGGGGGAUAAGCUCCAUGGUCGAGAGGGAAACAGCCCAGACCGCCAGCUAAGGUCCCCAAAUCAACACUAAGUGAUAAAGGAGGUGGGAUUGCCCAGACAACCAGGAGGUUUGCCUAGAAGCAGCCAUCCUCAAAGGAGUGCGUAAUAGCUCACUGGUCGAGCGAUCCUGCGCCGAAAAUGAAUGGGGCUAAGUGUUGUACCGAAGCUGCGGAUUUAUGGUAGGGGAGCGUUCUAUGUGGGGCGAAGCGUUAGCGUGAGCGGGCGUGGACUGCAUAGAAGUGAGAAUGUCGGCUUGAGUAGCGAAAACAUGGGUGAGAAUCCCAUGCACCGAAACCCUAAGGGUUCCUCCGGCAGGCUCGUCCGCGGAGGGUUAGUCUGGACCUAAGGCGAGGCCGAAAGGCGUAGUCGAUGGAUAACAGGUCAACAUUCCUGUACCGGUUAUGUUUUGGGAAGAGGGACGGAGAAGGCUAGCCAAGCCAGAUGUUGGUUACUGGUUCAAGCGUUCGAGGCGUUGAGGAUCGGCGAAAACGAUCCGAGCUGAGGCGUGAGUACGAGCUGCUACGGCAGCGAAGUUGGUGAUGUCAUGCUUCCAAGAAAAGCUCUAUACCCGUUAAGGCAUAACUGCCAGUACCCGAAACCGACACAGGUGGGGUGGUAGAGAAUACCGAGGUGCGCGAGGUAACUCUCUCUAAGGAACUCGGCAAAAUGGCCCCGUAACUUCGGGAGAAGGGGUGGCUACUCGUAAGAGAGCUCGCAGUGACCAGGCCCAGGCGACUGUUUAUCAAAAACACAGGUCUCCGCAAAGUUGCAAAACGACGUAUGGGGGCUGACGCCUGCCCAGUGCCGGAAGGUAAAGGAAGUUGGUUAUUUGACUCUUGAGUUCAAAGAAGCUGACCACCGAAGCCCCGGUAAACGGCGGCUGUAACUCUGACAGUCCUAAGGUAGCGAAAUUCCUUGCCAAGUAAGUUUUGGCCCGCACGAAAGGCGUAACGAUCUGGGCGCUGUCUCGGAGAGAGACUCGGUGAAAUAGAAAUGUCUGUGAAGAUGCGGACUACCUAUACCAGGACAGAAAGACCCUAUGAAGCUUGAAGGUAGCUUGGAAUUGGGUUCGGGCUCUUUUUGCGCAGUCUAGGUGGGAGGCGUUGAUGGUAGGGUUUCGGCCCUAUCGGAGCCAUCAGUGAGAGACCACUCUGAAAGAGCUAGAAUCCUAAUAGUAAUCCUUGAAGCAGGAUACUUGACAGUUUCAGGCGGACCUUUUUACUGGGGCGGUAGCCUCCUAAAAGGUAACGGAGGUGUGCAAAGGUUCCCUCAGGCUGGACGGAAAUCAGCUGUAGAGUGUAAAGGUAGAAGGGAGCUUGACUGCAAGACCUACAAGUCGAGCAGGCGCGAAAGCGGGCCUUAGUGAUCCGACGGUACCGAGUGGAAGGGCCGUCGCUCAACGGAUAAAAGUUACUCUAGGGAUAACAGGCUGAUCUCCCCCAAGAGUCCAUAUCGACGGGGAGGUUUGGCACCUCGAUGUCGGCUCGUCGCAUCCUGGGGCGGUAG
rnacentral:rRNA from 1 species